UACAGAGGUCUCAAGCGUUGUUCGGAUUCAUUGGGUGUAAAGGGUGCGUAGGCGGCGCGGUAAGUCGGGUGUGAAAUCUCGGAGCUUAACUCCGAAACUGCAUUCGAUACUGCCGUGCUUGAGGACUGGAGAGGAGACUGGAAUUUACGGUGUAGCGGUGAAAUGCGUAGAUAUCGGGAGGAACACCAGUGGCGAAGGCGACUUCCUGGCCUGUUCUUGACGCUGAGGCGCGAAAGCUAGGGUAGCAAACGGG
rnacentral:rRNA from 1 species